rnacentral:lncRNA from 1 species
GAAAUCAUCACAAGGUUAGAAAUUACUUAGAAGGGUGUGUAGGAAGGGGCUCCAUAGAAAGGAGUGGCUUCUCAGAGUCUUUUAUUAGUGCCGUGUGGCUAUUUUGGUCCACCUCCCCCAUCAUAUCCGUGAUCAGGAAGCCUCUGGUUCUGGUCAUUACAUUUGUACUUCCGGUGCUUCUAUAUCCCAAGGUGUCAAUGACGGAAUGGACACGGGACAUUCUAAAUCCUCUUCCUCCUUCCAUCCAGGAGUCUGGGACCCCAUGAUGAGCCCCCCACUCAGUUCCUCAGUAACCUUGGAAAGCCCUACAUAGCUCUGACAUUCUUAUUUCUGUCAACACUGCGUGUCAUCUGUCUUUGUCUUCUUCCCUGCUCAGGGGAAAACAAUGUCAUGGCAAUUAUUAGUGAUCCCUUUCCCCCUCCCUAUUGUUUACUGUUUUAGAUAUGCCUCUGGGGACAGAGAAGAAAUGGCCUCUAGAAGCUCCAUCUCCAGGGUCUUCUCUCUUGGAAGACCAAUCCAGAUUCAACCAUAUUUCUGCCUGUUUUUUAUCUUAAGAAAACAUGGAAUUGUUCCUUCAGUCACAUCCACGUGCAUCUUCUACAACAAAGGUGAUAUUGUAGACAUCAUGUUCAAAAAGGAAUUCCCCACAAAUGUUCCCAGAGUGAAACUGGGAGAGUCUAGUGUUACCCAGCAUGCUGUUGGCACUGCUGGAAACAAACAAGUUAAGGGCAGGCUCUGGACAAGAGAAUUAAUGUAAACACUGAGCAGGUUCAGCCCUCUGAGACCUGAGAUGGCUUCCUGAAAUGUGUGAAGGAAAGUAAUCAGAAAAACAGACAGCCAAGAGAAAAGUACCUGGGCUGAACUGAAGCACCAGCCUUCUCCCCCUAGAGAAGCAUUCUAUGUAGGAAGCAGUGGAGAGGAGCCUGAGCUGCUGGAACCCAUUCCCUACAAAUUUGUGGUGUAAUAGGUGUAAAAAAAAUAAAAUAAAAGACCUCUGUGUUGUGUUAGU